rnacentral:rRNA from 1 species
UGGCAAGCGUUGUCCGGAUUUAUUGGGCGUAAAGCGAGUGCAGGCGGUUCAAAAAGUCUGAUGGUAAAGCCUUCGGCUCCACAGGAGAAAUGCAUCAGAAACUGUUGAACUUGAGUGCAGAAGAGGAGAGUGGAACUCCAUGUGUAGCGGUGGAAUGCGUAGAUAUAUGGAAGAACACCAGUGGCGAAGGCGGCUCUCUGGUCUGCAACUGACGCUGAGGCUCGAAAGCAUGGGUAGCGAACA